UACUCCUACGGGAGGCAGCAGUGGGGAAUAUUGCACAAUGGGGGAAACCCUGAUGCAGCGACGCCGCGUGAAGGAAGAAGUAUCUCGGUAUGUAAACUUCUAUCAGCAGGGAAGAUAGUGACGGUAC
rnacentral:rRNA from 1 species